AAAAAAAAAAAAAGAGAAGGGGAUGGGGAGGUGGACGCCCAGGGCUGUGGUCUGACUCCCCGUGUGGCCCCUGCUCCUACAGAAUCUUGGCCAAAGCAGGGUACUUUUCUGCACCUCCGUCCCCUUUUCUCUGAAACAAGAGAUUUCAACUCCUUCUCUUCAAAGUCGCGGAUGCCAGUGGCCUCAUGCAAGUUUCACCCUCUCAGCAAGGCCUUCCCGGAUCACCUUAUAAUUGCAGCCCGAGAGAGAGGGAUACUUACAGGAGUGAUUUACUGGGGCAGAAGGCCGCAGAGAGAGGCAGGAUGGAGCACGGGAAAAGCACAGGAAAACUGCACCUGAGGUGAAAGGGUGCCCUCUACACCUGUCACAAUUGCAGCGUGAAUAAGCCCGGGCUAGCGACUUUAAGACCAGAGUACCUGGGAUUAACUGAAGUAACCCUCGUGAAAUGGACAAGUGGCUUAAACAUCUCCCUGCAGAGAAGCGACAGAUGGAGGAUAAUUCCAGGAAUACAGCUUCUUCCGCUCAACAUAACGUCUGUGAGAUCAUCCACGUUGUGUGUAUCCGUGGCCCCGUUUCACAGAGGAAGAAACCCAGGCUCAGACAGACUAAGGGAAGUGGCGUCGGAGGGAAGCCCCAGCUCUCCGAGGACGUCCCGUUCUUUGUUUGAGCACCGUCCCCUGAUGGUCCGUGCUGAUCGCCAGUCCAGGCAUUCCUUCCUGUGCUGGGGCUUCCUCCCACGCACAGUCGGUUGGGGAUCAUGCCAUCAGCAAAGGCUCUGACCUGCUAAAUCUCAUCCAUCAGACUGGCCACACUCCUUCCAACUGAGCUGGUAAUGUGAUCAUGUGAUCACGCCGUGGCGACUCGGUUCCCGUGGCCCGUUCGUCAUCACUUCACAGGCGCUUUCUGUGGACUCGGGUCAAAUCCUCUGUGUCAGCACCGUGUGUACCCUGUCGCACCCCACAGGUGACCCUGUAGAGGUUCCUGGCUGCAUCUGUGCCCACAGACGCGUGUCCACUUGCGCACGUGCCUCUCUCUCUGGCAGAAAAUCUUUGAGGUGGAACCCAAUGGACUGGGUUUAAAUCCUGACUCCACUACUUACAGGCUGUACCACUUUGCCCUAGUUACCCUCUCUGUGCCUCAGUUUCCCAUCUGUAAAAUGCGGAUGAGGACAGAACCCACUUCUUGGACUGUAUUCAUUUCCGGGGCUGCCACAACAAAGUACCACAGACUUAGUGGCUUAGAAGACUGAAAUCUAAUCGCUCACAGUUUUGGAGGCUGAAAUCAAGGCAUCGGCAAGGCUGCCUUGGGGUCGCUGGGGGAGAAUCUAUUCCAUGGCCCUCUCUGA